CUUUGCGGCAGGAGGCGGGUUUCUCUUACCUCGGUAGUCUGUCCUGUUGGCGCCUGACGGAGAGAACGCGCACAUUAGAAUGACCUCGCUGCAGAACGUGAUGGGGAGACAGUCUCCUACAGUUUGUGCUUCCCCCUCUGGGACAUGAGGUGCUGGAGAAGACCUUAGGCCAGCUGGGUCUGCUCACUGUCCUGGCCUUCAGCACUCAUGCAACAACAUAAUGGUUCUCCUGCAUGGACAUACAGCCUCGGUGUCGCAGGCUUCAGCAGAGAUCCAACAGAAGAAUGGUCAACCCAUCCCGGGGAUGGAAAAUGAUGCGAUCAGCAGCCUGUCACUACGCAGCCAUCAGUGAGCAGCUGAGAGCGCACUGUCUGCACUGAGAUCUGCAGCUGUGUCUUCUACAAUGUACUCAAUAAAUAAACUCAGUAACUACACAACGCUCUUCA